CACGUAGGAGGCAAACGUUAUCCGGAUUUACUGGGUGUAAAGGGCGCGUAGGCGGGAAUGCAAGUCAGAUGUGAAAUCCAUGGGCUCAACCCAUGAACUGCAUUUGAAACUGCAUUUCUUGAGUGAUGGAGAGGCAAGUGGAAUUCCUAGUGUAGCGGUGAAAUGCGUAGAUAUUAGGAGGAACACCAGUGGCGAAGGCGACUUGCUGGACAUUAACUGACGCUGAGGCGCGAAAGCGUGGGGAGCAAACAGG
rnacentral:rRNA from 1 species